AUAGGAGUCAUCAAAUCGUGAAAGACAAUAGUGGGUCUGUCAUGUACAGAAUCUGAAUGCUAUUGAAUUUCCUUAAAUUAUCAAUUUUCUUAAAUUCAAUGAAUCGAGGUUUAGAGCUCCCACUAAUUGCACCAUCCUCAAUAAACCGUGUUGUUUUAGUUUCUACAAUCUUUAUAGGAAGUGAUAGACAGUAAAAUUUAUACCCUUUCGACCUUUCCGAAUAACCAACAAAAUAUCCUGAUAUAGUUUGAGGGUCCAAUUUCUUUAUUUGUGGGUCAUACA
rnacentral:lncRNA from 1 species